rnacentral:rRNA from 1 species
GGGUAGGAGAGGGGACCAGCAGGGAUAGGUGUGGUCGGCGGUGUGUUGGGAUCGGGGAAAGGGGAGCUAGGGGUGUCGGGGAGGGAGGAGGAGCGAGAGGCGGUACCGGAGACGUGAUCCUCGGAGAGGUACCGGAGGAUGGGUAGGGGGGGUGGUGGUAUCCACGUGUGUCUACUACCUAGGCAAGGCCUCUUCUCGUCGAGGUCACUACCACCCCACGUAGACACGGCUUCUACUUCCUCACAACAAGAAAAAAGAGAACCACACGCGAGAGGACGUAGAGCGCGCCCUCCCUCACCACCACUGAUAGUAUCUUCCACCUCCUCCAGUAACCUCAGCCGAAGGGAAGGCGAAACCGACGGUUCGAGGCGCGCAACCACAAACUACUUUCAAGUCAUUCCGACACUCCCUUAUGGUUUGUUCUCUCCUAGCUCAUAGAUAUUGUACGUAGUCAAACGUCUAUCUCCUACACUAAGGUGGUUCUGUCUCUGCUACCACUACUGUUCACUCUAAAUACAAUUCCUCAUAAUCGUAUACGAGUGUCCUAGUGACCUUCGAAUAUUUCCAGGUUUCGAAAGUUACGUAAAAAUAGACAAAAAGUACAGGGUUACUAGUAGACGUUCAGGCUUAAUACGGUAACAACUACCACGUGUCCACCUUUAAUCGUUCGUUCUAUGUCAGCCACGUACCUACUGGUUCUAAUGAAUAAUGAAAUACUUCUACUACUAAGGACGUACAACUAACACGAAGUUCCCAUCUUCUCCUACCCUCCUCCCCUGUGCGCGAGAUAUAAAACAAUACGUGUGGAAAGAUUUGAUAUGAACAGAAGAAUUGUGUACAAGUAACAGGUCAUCUUCGACAUCUAAAGUCGCAUGUUAUUAAAGGUUUUGCCGUCUUCCACAAUGAUUAUACCACUCACUAACUUCCCCUCCGUACCCCUCUUCUCGUCAGGUUUACCGUCUACCUCGUACACUGGACAACUACAAUCAAAGGUAAAAGCCUUUCUUGUUUAAAAGAUAUUAAACUCACAUGCGACUACACAAUUUCAGUUAGUAAACCUAAGGGUUGAUCUGGUAACACAAACAAGAAAUAAAAUAACACGUAACUAUUUUACAAAGUCACGGGCACACGUGGUUCAACUUAAAACUUUGUCUACUCUCAAACGGGAAGUCCUUCCAAGAACAAACGACGAUACUAAUUAUCAUCCUUUAAAAAUAUGGAUAUCGUCCUGUCAACGAGUUCGAUUUCAGAAUACAUUGCAAAUUGUAGCCUUGAAACAAACACGAUUGUUAAAAGGG